rnacentral:rRNA from 1 species
CCUACGGGAGGCAGCAGUGAGGAAUAUUGGACAAUGGACGAAAGUCUGAUCCAGCCAUGCCGCGUGCAGGAUGACUGCCCUAUGGGUUGUAAACUGCUUUUAUACAGGAAGAAACACUCCCUCGUGAGGGAGCUUGACGGUACUGUAAGAAUAAGGAUCGGCUAACUCCGUGCCAGCAGCCGCGGUAAU